CACCGCGGUUAUACGAGAGGCCCAAGUUGAUAGCCACCGGCGUAAAGAGUGGUUAAGAAAACCCUGAAACUAAAGCCGAACGCUCUCAAGACUGUUAUACGUAGCCGAGAGCAAGAAGCCCCACUACGAAAGUGGCUUUAACCCUUCCGAACCCACGAAAGCUGGGAAA
rnacentral:rRNA from 1 species